AACGUGCAACUCUUGGGACCUGGGCUCUGCAGUGGAAACGAAAGCGGAGAGGCCGGGAAAAAAACCGCGGGAUUUUUCCCCUGCCUCUUUUGCGGUGCCCUGAACGGCCCUUUCCCCACCGACGGCCGUUCCCCACCCUCGCCCCUCUCUGAACUUUUCGCGCCACGGCGGCUCGUGGGCCAAUCGAGUCGAAUGAACUUGAAUCAGGGGGUGGGAUGAGCAGGCAGAGGCGCCCAGCAGCGCUGAGCGAGCGUGUUCUCCUAACUCCCCUUGGUAGAGAGCAGGCCGCGCUUCUCUUGUGCAGACCUCGAGUCUGGAUGCCCGCCGCUGAAGGACAGAAACGGGAACCAAAACCACGGGAUUUGGGGUCUGCCGCUUUUGUAGUGUCCCGAGUGAGAAACAAAAGGGGAAUCUGCGCCUCUCGUUUGCUGCGAGUGGUAUACAGCUUCUGAACAUGGCAGUUCCAUCUUUCUGUCAAGUGUCGUAGCCAUGGAUAGAUAUAUCCUCAAUCUUUGAGCUUCGUUCACUGGCUGAAGUGAUUAAGAUUUGGCAACAAUUCUUCCUUCUCCCCCCCCACCCCGCCUAUUCUUUCUGAAGACAAAGUGAACCUCACAACUUCCCGAGACUUCAUGAAGAAGGAUCCGUCACACUUGGACUUUUGUCUGUGAGCUCUCAUUGCAAAGCAGGAAAAGAACAAUAAGCUGCCAGGAGGGCUUGGCACCUGUGUGGAUUAAGGAUGACAUCAAAGACCUCAGAAAGAAGUGCAGACAGAGCAGAGAUCAGCCUAGAAAGCAGAACGAACAUCUUAGAUUCCUCCGUGCCAGGAAUGAAGGUGGAGAGGAGGUGAAGAACAAAAUCAAAAAGAAGUGGCAAGAAGUGACCUACAGUGGGUUUUACUGCUAUCUAUAUCUAU